GGGCAGCGGGGGAGCAGCAAUGCUCCCGCCGGCGACCGGCGCACGGGUGAGUAACACGUAUGGAACCUGCCCGCAGCAGGGGGAUAAGCGGAAGAAAUUCCGUCUAAUACCGCGUAACACCGCGGAGGGGCAUCCCUCGGCGGUUAAAGAUUCAUCGGCUGCGGAUGGCCAUGCGGCGCAUUAGCUAGUCGGCGGGGUAACGGCCCACCGAGGCGACGAUGCGUAGGGGUUCUGAGAGGAAGGUCCCCCACACUGGUACUGAGACACGGACCAGACUCCUACGGGAGGCAGCAGUGAGGAAUAUUGGUCAAUGGCCGGGAGGCUGAACCAGCCAAGUCGCGUGAGGGAAGACGGCCCUACGGGUUGUAAACCUCUUUUGUCAGGGAGCAAGAGGCGGGUCGGGACCUGCUGUGAGAGUACCUGAAGAAAAAGCAUCGGCUAACUCCGUGCCAGCAGCCGCGGUAAUACGGAGGAUGCGAGCGUUAUCCGGAUUUAUUGGGUUUAAAGGGUGCGCAGGCGGAGGCACAAGUCAGCGGUAAAAUCGCGGGGCUCAACCCCGCGCCGCCGUUGAAACUGUGUCCCUUGAGUGCGCGAAGGGUCCGGCGGAAUGCGUGGUGUAGCGGUGAAAUGC
rnacentral:rRNA from 1 species